rnacentral:rRNA from 1 species
AUGGACACAGAGGAGUCCAGGCCAUGGCAGCCGAGGAGAAGCAGGGCCAUGGGCGUGUCGGGCCGAGGAGCUCCUGGCCGCAGUGGCGCGGCGCCGGAGCAGGGACCAGCGACGAGGCAAGGCAACGUGGAGGAGCCUGCGAGGGACCCUGGCGAGGAGGCAGUGGAGGACGGUGCUGGCGACGCUGGCCUUGGCGAGGAGCUCAGGGGUGGCGCUCGCCCGGGCGGUGGCGGCGGGGCCAGCUUCGAGGAAGAGGUUGCGAUGCAGAGGGAGAAAGGAGGCGGGACUCGGCACGCCGGCGGGACGGCAGCGGCUGCAUGGAGCGGGCGGCGGCCAAGGCGCUCGGGAAGGCGCGGGGAGGAGGUUGCUGAGGGCGGUCGGUGCUCGAGGAGCUCCUCUCCUCAGGCGCUCAGCGACAUGGGGUUCUCGCUCCUCUUUCUCCCUCUCUGGGUGACGGUGCAAGGGAGAGGACAAGAGGAGUGCGAUGGGAUUGGAAGAGAGAUGGGGAUCGGGUGCGGGGCGUGUGUGGCGGCGGAGGGAGGACGAGCGAACGAGGGGAGGUGCGCGUGGGGAUCGGGCUAG